AGUUUCUGACCUAUCAGCUUUCGACGGUAGGGUAUUGGCCUACCGUGGCAGUGACGGGUAACGGGGAAUUAGGGUUCGAUUCCGGAGAGGGAGCCUGAGAAACGGCUACCACAUCUAAGGAAGGCAGCAGGCGCGCAAAUUACCCAAUGAAAACAGUUUCGAGGUAGUGACGAGAAAUAACAAUACAGGGCAUUUUAUGUUCUGUAAUUGGAAUGAUGGGAAUGUAAAACCCUUUCAGAGUAACAAUUGGAGGGCAAGUCUGGUGCCAGCAGCCGCGGUAAUUCCAGCUCCAAUAGUGUAUAUUAGAGUUGUUGCAGUUAAAAAGCUCGUAGUUGGAUUUCUGUCGUGGUCAUCUGGCUCUGCCCGUAUGGGUUUGGGCCUGCAUGCCCUCGGCUUUCUCCCGGUGGGCCUCCGCGCUUCACUGCGUGUGGGGCUUGUUCUGGAACUUUUACUUUGAG
rnacentral:rRNA from 1 species